GAUGAACGCUGGCGGCGUGCCUAAUACAUGCAAGUCGAGCGAACAGACGAGGAGCUUGCUCCUCUGACGUUAGCGGCGGACGGGUGAGUAACACGUGGAUAACCUACCUAUAAGACUGGGAUAACUUCGGGAAACCGGAGCUAAUACCGGAUAAUAUAUUGAACCGCAUGGUUCAAUAGUGAAAGACGGUUUUGCUGUCACUUAUAGAUGGAUCCGCGCCGCAUUAGCUAGUUGGUAAGGUAACGGCUUACCAAGGCAACGAUGCGUAGCCGACCUGAGAGGGUGAUCGGCCACACUGGAACUGAGACACGGUCCAGACUCCUACGGGAGGCAGCAGUAGGGAAUCUUCCGAAAUGGGCGAAAGCUUGACGGAGCAACGCCGCGUGAGUGAUGAAGGUCUUCGGAUCGUAAAACUCUGUUAUUAGGGAAGAACAAAUGUGUAAGUAACUAUGCACGUCUUGACGGUACCUAAUCAGAAAGCCACGGCUAACUACGUG
rnacentral:rRNA from 1 species